AGCCGGGUGAAGAUUCUCAGACCAUAGGAAGUGUUGUAUGACACUGUCAACAAUAGCUGCUGCUUCUCCACUGCAAGUGUCCUCCUUUGGCCAUAACCUUUGUAGUUUGGUCUUUGCUGCAAUCCCCAUUCACUUGGUUUUUUUCAGCUCUGUAUGCAAUUUUAAACAGGUCUUCUUUUUCU
rfam:Triticum aestivum genome assembly, contig: Triticum_aestivum_CS42_TGACv1_scaffold_591808_7BS